GAACGCACAUUGCGCCCCUUGGUAUCCCGAGGGGCAUGCCUGUUCGAGCGUCAUUUCACCACUCAAGCCUGGCUUGGUGUUGGGCGUCUGUCCUGCCUCACGGCGCGGACUCGCCUCAAAUCUAUUGGCGGCCGGCACGUUGGCUUCGAGCGCAGCAGAAACGCGAACUCGAGACCGGCGGAUCGGCUCCCAGAAGCUACCCCCAUGAAUUUGACCUCGGAUCAGGUAGGGAUACCCGCUGAACUUAAG
rnacentral:misc_RNA from 1 species